UGGCAACCAUGGGUAUCCAACCAUUCAGGGUUAUGUGACACCAGGUCGUCAUGUUCUGCAAUAUGGGGGACCCCUCGUUAAUGGAGUAACUACAGACACUAUUACCAUAACUCAAGCACAAUACCUUGCAGGGAUAACCAAUACCACCGGCAAGUGCUACAAUUAUAACAAUCCCAAUACCAUCUGCAAGGAUAGAGAUCAAUAUCUCAACUUUGACACUGUUCAUCCCACUCAAGCAGCCAACUAUGUUUUUUUGUUGAAUUGUUUCGGUGGAACACUUUGCAGUCCGCUCAAUAUCAGGACUCUUGUUGGAGCUUAACUCAGCUGACUUUUAUGUUGCGUUUUCAUUAUAUGCAUGGAUAUACUUUUAAGGGGCCGGUUUCCUGUAUUUUCCAAAGUUUAGGAUUCCACGUACUAAUUAAUGCCUCUUACUCCAGUUGUUUCUAUUAUGUAAUGGCCUCCUUUUUUUUCUUCCCUUCUUUUAAUGAAAUGAAAGUGGGUUUUGCUUGCUUUACUUUGCA